CAGCUGCCGGUCCUGGUGCUCUGAGCAGCAUGAAACCUUCCCAGCAUGCUCUCCUGCAGGGACCUGGGACAGAUAACCAAUGGAACCCUAAUCCUUCCGACUGAUGCAGAUUUCAAAAACCUCCUUCCCACUAUGAUCUCCCAAGCUUUUGACCUUUUCAUGAAAUCUCCUGAGUUUUGUCUCGCUGCCAUACUCCCAAAGGCUGAGCCAUUACAAACAUUGAUUCUAUCUCCCCUUGUAAGUAUGCUCACACUUCUUAUCAAACUGUCUGUACUGGGCUAUCUUGAUUAUCACUUCAAAAGUUUUUUUCUCUUAAUUAAUUGGCCUCUCAGAGUUGGUAAGACAACUCCCACCUGUUUAUGCUCUCUGUAUGUGUGUAUAUAUAUCUCCUCAAUAUAUGUUCCAUUCUAUAUGCAUCCGAAGAAGUGGGCUGUA